rnacentral:rRNA from 1 species
AGAUUGAACGCUGGCGGCAGGCCUAACACAUGCAAGUCGAGCGGCAGCACGGGUACUUGUACCUGGUGGCGAGCGGCGGACGGGUGAGUAAUGCCUAGGAAUCUGCCUGAUAGUGGGGGAUAACGCUCGGAAACGGACGCUAAUACCGCAUACGUCCUACGGGAGAAAGCAGGGGACCUUCGGGCCUUGCGCUAUCAGAUGAGCCUAGGUCGGAUUAGCUAGUUGGGUGGGUAAUGGCUCACCGAAGGCGACGAUCCGUAACUGGUCUGAGAGGAUGAUCAGUCACACUGAACGUGAGACACGGUCCAGACUCCGUACGGGAGCAGGCGAGGACGGGAUAGUGGA